GCGGGCGUGGCGAAAUGGUAGACGCAGUGGACUCAAAAUCCACCGGAGAAGUCCAUGUCGGUUCGAGUCCGACCGCCCGCACCA
rnacentral:tRNA from 1 species